rnacentral:rRNA from 1 species
UCAGCAAUGCCUGCCCAGUGCGAUUGAAAGGUCGUAAACGGCCGCCCUAGCGUGAGGGUGCUAAGGUAGCGAAAUUCCUUGCCUUUUAAUUGUAGGCCUGCAUGAAUGGCUUGACGAGGGUUUAACUGUCUCUGGUUUGUAAGGUCUAAAUUGGAUUAAAGGUGAAGAUACCUUUAUAUGAAAGUCAGACAAGAAGACCCCGUGCAACUUUUAAAGUCGGUUUAUUGAGAAAUUUAAGAUUUUUAGGUGGGGCGCCUACUGAGUAUUACUAACCUCUGUGUAUAAAAAAACAUUCAAGUGUAGACCCGACAUUGUCGAUCAUAGGAGAAGUUACGCCGGGGAUAACAGGCUGAUCCACUAGUAGAGAACGUAUUGGCUAGUGGGAUUGGCACCUCGAUGUUGAAUCAGGGAUGAUACCUUUAAGGCGUAGAAGCUUAAAAGUAGGUCUGUUCGACCUUUAAUACCCUACGUGAUCUGAGUCCAGACCGGA